rnacentral:SRP_RNA from 1 species
CACUUAGGUCCUAUGCAAUGUAAGCCCAUGAACCCUGUCAGAUCCGGAAGGAAGCAGCAGUAAGUGGUUACUGCAUGUGACGUGGGAGUGCCUAAGUUGAGC